AUUGAACGCUGGCGGCAGGCCUAACACAUGCAAGUCGAGCGGAUGAAGCGAGCUUGCUCCUGGAUUCAGCGGCGGACGGGUGAGUAAUGCCUAUGAAUCUGCCUGGUAGUGGGGGAUAACGUCCUGAAACGGGCGCUAAUACCGCAUACGUCCUGAUGGAGAAAGUGGGGGAUCUUCGGACCUCACGCUAUCAUAUUAGCCUAGGUCGGAUUAGCUAGUUGGGGGGGUAAAUGCUUACCCAGGCGACGAUCCGAAACUGGUCUGGAGGGAAGACCAGUGAGACUGGAACUGAGACACGGUCCAGACUCCUGCGGGAGGCAGCAGUGGGGAAUAUUGGACAAUGGGGGAAAGCCUGAUCCAGCAAUGCCGCGUGUGUGAAGAAGGUCCUCGGAUUGGAAAGCAAUUUAAGUUGGGAGGAAGGACAGUAAGUUAAUACCUUGCUGUUUUGACGUUACCAACAGAAUAAGCACCGGCUAACUUCGUG
rnacentral:rRNA from 1 species